rnacentral:rRNA from 1 species
UACGUAGGGUCCGAGCGUUGUCCGGAAUUAUUGGGCGUAAAGGGCUCGUAGGCGGCCAACUAAGUCGGAUGUGAAAUCCCCAGGCUCAACCUGGGAACUGCAUCCGAUACUGGAUGGCUUGAAUCCGGGAGAGGGAUGCAGAAUUCCAGGUGUAGCGGUGAAAUGCGUAGAUAUCUGGAGGAAUACCGGUGGCGAAGGCGGGUCUCUGGACAGUUCCUGACGCUGAGGCACGAAGGCCAGGGGAGCAAACGGG